UGAAUACGAGACGCUAAGGCGUCGAAGUAGUGUAUGUCAUACUUCCAAGAAAAGCUUGCACUGUCAUAAGUAAAAAAUGCCUGUACCAUAACCGACACAGGUGGGUAGGUAGAGUAUACUAAGGGGCGCGAGAUAACUCUCUCUAAGGAACUCGGCAAAAUAACUCCGUAACUUCGGGAGAAGGAGUACCUUAUUCUAUAAGGUUGCAAUAACAAGAUCCAAGCAACUGUUUAUCAAAAACACAGGUCUCCGCUAAGUCGUAAGACGAUGUAUGGGGGCUGACGCCUGCCCAGUGCCAGAAGGUUAAAGAAGUCGGUUAGCAUUAGCGAAGCUGGUAACUGAAGCCCUGGUGAACGGCGGCCGUAACAAUAACGGUCCUAAGGUAGCGAAAUUCCUUGUCGGGUAAGUUCCGACCCGCACGAAAGGCGUAAUGAUUUGGAUACUGUCUCGGAGAGGGGCUCGGUGAAAUAGACUUGUCUGUGAAGAUGCGGACUACCUGCACCAGGACAGAAAGACCCUAUGAAGCUUUACUGUAACUUGAAAUUGAAAUUGGACUUUAUUCGCGCAGUAUAGGUGGGAGGUGUUGAUUAUAAUCUUGCGGGAUUAUUGGAGCCAUCAGUGAGAUACCACUCUUGUAAUGUUAGAUUUCUAACUUUGAAUCAUUAUCUGGUCAAAGGACAGUUUCAGGCGGGCAGUUUGACUGGGGCGGUCGCCUCCCAAACGGUAACGGAGGCGUACAAAGGUUUCCUCUGAACGGGUAGAAAUCGUAUCUAGAGUGUAAAGGCAUAAGGAAGCUUGACUGUGAGACCUACAAGUCGAACAGGGACGAAAGUCGGUCUUAGUGAUCUGACGGUACUGAGUGGAAAGGCCGUCACUCAACGGAUAAAAGUUACUCUAGGAUAACAGGCUGAUCUCCCCCAAGAGUUCACAUCGACGGGGAGGUUUGGCACCUCGAUGUCGGCUCAUCGCAUCCUGGGGCGGUAGUACGUCCCAAGGGUUGGGCUGUUCGCCCAUGAAAGCGGUACGCGAGCUGGGUUCAGAACGUCGUGAGACAGUUCGGUCCAUAUCCGGUGUAGGCGUUAGAAUAUUGAGAGGAGCCUUCUUUAGUACGAGAGGACCGAGAAGGACAUACCUCUGGUGUACCAGUUAUCGUGCCAACGGUAAACGCUGGGUAGCUAUGUAUGGAGUGGAUAACCGCUGAAAGCAUCUAAGUGGGAAGCCCACCUCAAGAUAAGUAUUCCC
rnacentral:rRNA from 1 species